rnacentral:rRNA from 1 species
AUGCACGCUGGCGGCGUGCUUAACCCCUGCACGUCGCACGAGAAAUGUAGACGGAAACCUUCGGGCGGAAGCCUUCAUUUCGAGUGGCGGACGGGUGAGUAACGCGUGGGUAACCUGCCUCAUACAGGGGGAUAACAGUUGGAAACGACUGUUAAUACCGCAUAAGACCACAGCAUCGCAUGAUGCGGGGGUAAAAACUCCGGUGGUAUGAGAUGGACCCGCGUUCGAUUAGCCAGUUGGCGGGGUAACGGCCCACCAAAGCGACGAUCGAUAGCCGAUCUGAGAGGAUGACCGGCCACAUUGGGACUGAGACACGGCCCAAACUCCUACGGGAGGCAGCAGUGGGGAAUAUUGCACAAUGGGGGAAACCCUGAUGCAGCGACGCCGCGUGAGUGAAGAAGUACUUCGGGAUGUAAAGCUCUAUCAGCAGGGAAGAAAAUGACGGUACCUGAGUAAGAAGCCCCGGCUAACUACGUG